AAUGAAUCUUUAUCUUCUUGUACAUAUUACUAUUUGCUAGUUUAAGUUUAGAACUGAACCUUCCCAUUCUUUUCAGUUCAAAGCCAAAACCUUGGCUUUCAGCACAGCAAGUUUCUAAAUUGAGCAAAUUCUUACAAAGAUGAGCACUUCACAGGGUGCUAUUACAUGCAAAGCUGCAGUGUGCUGGGGAUUAGGAAUGACAGUAAAGCUUGAAGAGAUUCAAGUUGAUCCGCCGAAAUCAGGCGAAGUUCGAGUCAAGAUGCUUUGUGCUAGCAUCUGCCACACUGAUGUUUCAGGCAUUCAAGGAUCUCCAUAUGUUAAUGGUUUCCCUCUAGUACCUGGACAUGAAGGAGUUGGUGUUGUAGAGACAGUUGGAGAUGAAGUGAAAAAUCUUAAAGAAGGGGAUAUGGUGAUUCCAACAUAUAUAGGAGAGUGUGGGCAUUGCCGGAAUUGUGUUUCUGGAAAGACCAACCUUUGCCUGACAUAUCCUUUCAGAAUUACUGGCUUCAUGCCAGAUAACACUUCUAGAAUGUCCUGCAGAGGCAAGAAGUUACAACACACUUGGACUUGUGCCACGUGGUCCGAGUACACGGUUGUCAAUGCCAAUUACCUUCUCAAGGUUGAUCCAGGCAUCAAUCUAGCCCAUGCUAGCUUCAUCUCAUGUGGGUUUUCAACUGGCUAUGGAGCUGCAUGGAAGGAAGCCCAAGUUGAAAGUGGAUCAAGUGUUGCUGUUUUUGGUCUUGGUGCUGUAGGAUUAGGGGCUAUAAGCGGAGCGAAAAUGCUGGGGGCUACUAAGAUAAUAGGGGUUGACACAAAUGAGAUGAAGAGAGAAAAAGGGAAAGCUUUUGGAAUGACUGAUUUUAUAAAUCCUCAAGAUUCUGAUAAACCUCCAUCAGAAUUGGUGAAGGAACUGAGUGAUGGAUUUGGUGUGGAUUUUUCUUUUGAGUGCACUGGAGUUCCAUCUUUGAUUAGUGAAUCCUUAGCAGCCACAAAUAUGGGAACCGGUAAAGCAAUAACUAUUGGCGCGCCAAAUGAACCUAUUGUGCCUUUCAAUCAUACAGCAAUUCUGGCUGGCAGAACUCUGAAGGGUUCUGUUUUUGGAGGUCUAAAAACCAUGUCAGACCUUUCAAUUGUAGCUGACAAAUGCCAAAAGGAGGAGUUCCCUCUUCAGGAGCUAUUCACCCAUGAGGUCCCAUUGACAGAUAUAAGCAAAGCAUUUGAUCUACUCAAAGAGCCAAAUUGUGUCAAAGUUGUCAUCAAGAUAUGAUUUUCUGACAAUUGAUGGAUGUAAAAUUCAAAUUAUGCAGCUUCAGAUAGUUUUAUAGGAGAAUAUUCUGCUUUAAAAAUCACAGAAGUUGCACUCCAACAACUGUUCUGUGUGAAUAUGAAUAAAGAAUUGUUUGAUGCAUGUGUGUUCUGAGAUUUAUAGCCCAUUCAAGCGAGAAGUGAUUCGUUCGAAGACAUGUUCACUACAAGGAAUAGUGAGACCUCCCAUGGGAUGAUCAUAUCCAAAUUCUUCUUCAGCUUGACUCAACAAGUCUUGGAAUGAAGGU